GACCACCACCAUCAUCACCAGGCUCCAGUUGCUUACCCCAUGAAACAUGAUGGUCCUGAAUGCCCCCAACAACCACCUCCCUGCCCCGAGCCUGCAGAGUCUCAUCAUCGUAAGGGUGCUGGAUUUUGCACAGGAUGUUGUUUUGCCAUGUGUAGCUGCUUUUGCGACUUGUGUUGCAUGCAGUGGCAGACCUAUUAAGGAGAAAGGAAGUACAGCUGCACCUCCCUCUUUGAAAAAUCACCUAGAGAGGUCAGAAUUUGCCCC